rnacentral:lncRNA from 1 species
CUUUAUUUAUAAUGCAUGGUUCUUGAAAUGAGAAUGAUAUAAAAAUAAAGCUCUCAACUAGAGAAGAAUCUACAAAUAGACGACGGUUUUAGGCGACAUGUUUCUUUAUUUUCAUGUGGUUGGCGCAAGGAAAUAUCAGUCACAGUGAACACUGUUGAUCUCAGUAAUCUGAUUCUAAAAGAGUGGAAGAAAAAGAAACAAGCAUAGUUUGUACUCUUAAACUCUUUUUUAUUUUCUUUCUCUUUUAGGUAUGGUAAUUAACCACAAUGUUACUAAUUGAAAUUCUUAUAGUUAGAAGUACAAAAAUGCACGUAGGGAAUUGAUGACACAUGACAUUUCUCACAUUAAACAAACUUGGAGAAAGGUUCUGCGUGUUAGGUAUUCAAAACUAUCUAUUCAAGAAGAUCUAUUUAUAUUAUUAAAAAAAAAAGAUCUAUUUAUUUGUUAAUUUUAUUGCAUGCAUCUUCAACAUUCACACCAGUUUUCUUGGCUUUUAUUUUCAUGCUCACCAACUGGAUAAAUAUGUUUACACGAAGCAAAAACACAAUGAGCAAUACUCUUUUUUAGUUAAGGUAUUGUAAUUUCACUUAGAAUACUUAACAUUAAACUUUGAUACAUAAGCAUUAUGACGUCUCCUCUCCAUAUUUACAUGUUUUUCUUUACAGUUUGACAACCAACGUCUUGAGAAGUUGAAGCGUAAUAUUGAGGUGAUAAUAUAUAUAAUGUGUUGUCUCGUAUGAUAUAUAUACUUAGUUGAAUGAAUUUAACGCUUUCUUUUACCACAGACCUCUUUUGAUAAUUGGAGCAAGGGUAUUGCAACAAGUGAAUUAUCUGANNNNNNNNNNNNNNNNNNNNUGUGUUUAGGACUUUAGGUACGAAUCUUUUGUACGUUGAGAAGUUCUUUUUUUUCUUUUUUUCUUUUUUUUUUGGGAGAACGAGAGGGUCCUUGACGUAUAAUGCAAGGUUCUUGAAAUGAGAAUGAUAUAAAAAAAUAAAAUAAAAAAUACACUUCCCUCGUGUAUUUAGUAAUGAAUCAUUUGUUGAGUGUGUGUUACUUAUAUUGCACGGUUUUUGAAGUGACAAUGACAUGUGUGGCAGUGAAGGAGGCGGAGGAGGCGGUGGGGGAAGUUGGAGCUGUGAUUUGGGUGGAGGUCCAUUCUAGGUUUGACUGAGAGAGUGCGGGUCGGUGGAUCUGGGAGAGAGGAGAUUGUGGGUUUUGGGUAAAGGAGUCUUCUUUCUUGAAGGGUGGAUCUGAGAUCUGAGGUGAAUUCCAAGGGAGUAGACAACAUAAAAUACCUAGUGUCCUUAGUCCUUACUGUUUAACAGUUAACACUGUAACUUAUUGGAUAAUCCAAGAAUUCUACAAUACA